rfam:Gorilla gorilla gorilla genomic chromosome, chr16, whole genome shotgun sequence
ACCUCCUCCCAUCAAUCACAAAUGUCCUUAAUGGCAUUUGCUAUUAAGGACAUUUGAUUCACGGGAGGAGGU